rnacentral:snoRNA from 1 species
CAUCAAUGGUAAUAUGAUGACAACUCUGAUGGCCAUUCCAGAAAAAGAGCUCCAAAAUUGCUUUGAAGGAUGG